rnacentral:rRNA from 1 species
CUUAUUUUAUGUUGGUGUAUAUCUGGUUUAAUAUUAUUGCUUUAAUAGCUUAAUUUGUGUAUAUCAAGUUUUUAAGCCAAGUCUAUGUGCUGCUUAUUUAAGUUUUCAUGCGUUACAUUUAUAAUAUUAAUUGUGUAAAAUGUUAGUAUUUAGGACUUAAUAGUAAUGUAGAAUUAGUUUGUUUAUGUGAAAUUGGUUUAGCUUGGGUACACACCGCCCGUCA